UCUCCACCGAGCCCAAAAUCCGCCUCUCCUCUCUCGCUUCGUCCUCUCCUAUCCACCAUCAAACACCUUGGGGGCGCGACCUCGCCACGCCCACGCGCGCCAUGCCGCCUCCCCUCUCCUUCCCCCACCUCACCGCCAACCCCACCCCACUCCACGCCUCGCCGCUCCCGCUCCCCCGCGCAAGCAGCCCCCACCUCCUCCUCCUCCGCCACCGCCUCUCCCUCCGUGGCGACCGCCUGUCCCGGCACGACGCGGCGGCGGGUGAGAGCCCGCCCCCCGUGGGCCCGAUAGCCGACGUCGAGAUGGUCCGUGGCAAGGACGGGAUGUGGACGGCGCGGCCGCCGACGGUGGUGGUGCUGUGGGACCUCGACAACAAGCCCCCGCGCGGCCCGCCCUUCCCGGCGGCCUCCGCGCUCCGCGACGCGGCCUCCCUCCUCGGCCGCGUCGUGUCCUUCUCCGCCUUCGCAAACCGCCACGCGUUCUCCCACGUCCCCGCCUGGGUCGCUGACGAGCGCCGGGAGCGCCGCGCCAUGGACCGCGCCGAGCGCUCCGGCGUCGCCGCCCCGCCCGUCCCCUACUCGUGCGCCGUCUGCGGCCGACGCUUCCCCACCCGCCCCGACCUCACGCGCCACUUCCGCCAGCUCCACCAGCGCGAGCGCAACAAGAAGCUCUCCCGCCUCCGCUCUCUCAAAGGCAAGAAGCGGCAGAAAUUCCGGGAGCGGUUCAUCUCCGGCAACACCAAGUACGAUGACGCCGCGCGAGAGCUCCUCACCCCCAAGGUCGGUUACGGUCUCGCCUCCGAGCUCCGCCGCGCCGGCGUCCACGUCCGCACCGUCUCGGACAAGCCGCAGGCAGCCGAUCACGCGCUCAAGCGUCAGGUGAAGCAUUCCGUCGCCUGCGGCGUCGACUGGCUCGUGCUGGUCUCCGAUGACUCCGACUUCACUGAUACAGUGCGGAAAGCGCGCGCCGCUGACUUGAGGACAGUUGUGGUUGGGGACGGUUGCCGUGCUCUUGGAAGUGUAGCUGACAUUUGGUUGCCAUGGGACCGUGUUGAGAAUGGAGAGGUUGAUGAGCAGAUGCUGCAGAAUGGGGCACAUAUGGGAUUCAGAGAUGAAGAGAAAGAGGAGCAAGAUGAUGAUGAGUUCACAGUGGAUUGGGAUACGAGUGAUUUGGAUGGUGUUGUUGAUGACAUCGUUGCAACCAGGACCAAGUUGUUUGGUGCUGCAACAAUGUCUGCAUUUGCUGAUGAGGAAAUUAUGGAUGGCAUAUUGGGUGUUGGGAUAAAUGGCGUUGACAUGUUAUGGAGUAGCGACGACGAGGACGAGGAUGGUUAUUUUUGAGGUUAACAUGGAUUGACAGGACUUGUGGUAUACUGCUGCUCAGUAAUCCAAAAAGGGCAUCCACACGACCACAUCUGAAAGAUGAUGUCCAAUUCCUGACACGCAGGCUGCAAGCCUGCAACAUGUGGAUAACAUCCUGUUGGGCGAUAGCUGAAGUCUGAAGAAGCUGGAAGACGUUCAUUUUCGGGCACCUGGAGAAGCUUACUGCACAAUUCACAUAAGAAUCACGCACUUUUCAGAGAGGCAGAUAAGGUUACCUUCCAGCUGAGGUAGAAACAACGGUAUCAACAUGUUUGUCUCCAUGAGGAGGUGAAAACCAUUCGAAGAGUAUCCCAAGUAAUUCUGUACUUAUACGGUCAUACCUGUUCUGCCGAACAAGCUGAGCUAAAAAAAAAAGGUAAAAGCACGAGAAUAGGUCCUGGGUGAUAUUGCUGAAUGUGCAUAUCUCAAGUAUUAAGCUGAUGUUUUGAAUGUUGUGAACUUGUGAUAUAGCGGAGGCAGUUGUCUGAGUUUAUGCCAGUUUUCUGCAGUAUUUGGACAUCUCUCUCUCUCUCUAUCCCUAGGUUGCGGGGAAAUGCUGCAGUCUCUCCCGCGGCCCACUCGUCCACAAUUUCAAGCGCCGCCUGCUUGGCCACCGUUGCUCAACGACGGUCUGGAAUCUAUGGAGGAGAUAAGCAGCGAAGUUCUACUGCAAAUAAACGAAAUUGACAACGGAACCAGUCUGACUUUCGAUUAGAACACGCACACGGAUACACAACGCCUGAUUCGAAAACCAGUGAUAUUUUUUUAGGACCAGUAAAUGUUAUUAAAAGCUUACCUAUUUGCGUAAUAUUCGUAGUUAUUGAGAUUAAACCCUGCACAAGUGAAAUCAUGCACAUACAACU